GUCCCAGUGCACCAGCCCCAAGCAUCCAGUACCGUGCGUCGAACCUGGACUGGCGACUCGUUUCAUACAUGAUAUUAUACAUGUUUCAAUGCUAUUCUCCCAAAUCUCCCCAUCCUCUCCCUCUCCCACAGAGUCUGUAAGACUGAUCUAUACAUCGGUGUCUCUUUUGCUAUCUCGUACACAGGGUUAUUGUUACCAUCUUUCUAAAUUCCAUAUAUAUGCGUUAGUAUACUGUAUUGGUGUUUUUCUUUCUGGCUUACUUCACUCUGUAUAAUAGGUUCCAGUUUCAUCCAUCUCAUUAGAACUGAUUCAAACGUAUUCUUUUUAAUGGCUGAGUAAUACUCCAUUGUGUAUAUGUACCACAGCUUUCUUAUCCAUUCAUCUGCUGAUGGGCAUCUAGCUUAUAUAAACAGUGCUGCGAUGAACAUUGGGGUACACGUGUCUCUUUCCCUUCUGGUUUCCUCAGUGUGUAUGCCCAGCAGUGGGAUUGCUGUGAUCCUAGCUUUUUGAAUGUUGAGUUUUAAGCCAGCUUUUCGACUCUCCUCUUUCACCUUCAUUAAAAAGCUCUUUAGUUCCUCUUUGCUUUCUACCAUAAGGGUGGUGUCAUCUGCACAUCUGAGGUUAUUGAUAUUUCUCCCAGCAAUUUUGAUUCCAGCUUCUGCUUCAUACAGCCUGGCAUUUUGCAUGAUGUACUUUGCAUAUAAGCUAAAUAAUCAGGGUGACACUGUACAGCCUUGACGUACUCCUUUCCCAGUUUGGAACCAGUCUGUUGUUCCAUGUCUGGAUCUGACUGUUGCUUCUUGACCUGCAUAUAGAUUUUUCAGGAGGCAGGUAAGAUGGGCUGGUAUUUUCAUCUCUUGAAGAAUUUUCCACAAUUUGUUGUGAUCCAUACAGUCAAAGGCUUUGGCAUCGUCAAUAAAGCAGAAAUAUAUGUUUUUUUGGAAUUCUCUUGCUUUUUCUAUGAUCUCUGGUUCCUCUGCCUUUUCUAAAUCCAGUUUGUACAUCUGGAAGUUCUCGGUUUAUGUUCUGUUGAAACCUAGCUUGGAGAAUUUUGAGCAUUACUUUGCUAGUGUGUGAAAUGAGUGCAAUUGUGCGAUACUUUGAACAUUCUUUGGCAUUGCCUUUUUUUGGGAUUGGAACAAAAACUGACCUUUUCCACUCCUGUGGCCACUGCUAAGUUUUCCAAGUUUGCUGGCAUAUUGAAUAUAGCACUUUAACAGCAUCAUUUUUAGGAUUUGAAAUAGCUCAGCUGGAAUUCCAUCACCUCCACUCUCUUUGUUCAUAGUGAUGCUUCCUAAGGCCCAGUUGACUUGGCAUUCCAGGAUGUCUGGCUCUAGGUGGGUGAUCACACCAUCUGGGUCAUUACGAUCUCUUCUGUAUAGUUCUUCUGUGUAUUCUUGCCACCUCUUGUUAAUAUCUUCUGCUUCUCUUAGGUCCAUACCAUUUCUGUUCUUUAUUGUGCCCAUCUUUGCAUGAAAUGUUCCCUUGGUAUCUCUAAUUUUCCUGAAGAGGUCUCUAGUCUUUCCUAUUAUAUUGUUUUCCUGUAUUUCUUUGUAUUAAUCACUUAGGAAGGCUUUCUUAUCUCUCCUUGUUAUUCUUCGGAACUCUGCAUUCAGAUGGGUAUAACUUUCCUUUUCUCCUUUGCCUUUUGCCUCUCUUCUUUUCUCAGCUAUUUGUAACCCCCUCUCAGACAACCAUUUUUCCCUUUUGCAUUUAUUUUUUCUUGGGGAUGAUCACAGCCUCCUGUACAAUGUUGCAAACCUCCAUCCACAGUUCUUCAAGCACUCUGUCUAUCAGAUCUAAUCCCUUGAAUCUAUUUGUCACUUCUACUGUAUAAUCUGGCGUGCUGUGAUUCAUGGGGUCGCAAAGAGUCAGAUACGACUGAGCCACUGAACUGAACUGAACUGUAUAAUCAUAAGGGAUUUGACUUAGGUCAUACCUGAAUGGUCUAGUGGUUUUCCCUGCUUUCUUCAAUUUAAGUCUGAAUUUUUCAAUAAGGAGUUCACGAUCUGAGCCACAGUCAGCUUCUGGUCUUGUUUUUGCUGACUAUAUAGAGCUUCUCCAUCUUCGGCUGCAAAGAAUAUAAUCAAUCUGAUUUCGGUAUUGACCAUCCGGUGAUGUCCAUAUGUAGAGUCUUCUCUUGUGUUGUUGGAAGAGGGUGUUUGCUAUGACCAGUGUGUUCUCUUGGCAAAACUCUGUUAGCCAUUGCCCUGCUUCAUUUUGUACUCCACGGUCAAACCUGUCUACUGCCUGACUUCCUACUUUUGCAUUCCAGUUCCCUAUUAUGAAAAAUACAUCUUUUUUUGGUGUUAGUUCUAGAAUAUGAACUAGAACCUGUGCCUUGAGAGCAAGCUUUUCUGUCUGCUGCCUGGUUUUCUUAAUUCCCAGCUCCACCAAGUGGGUCAGCUCCUGUUAUCCCCACUGGCACAGAUGAGGAAACUGAGGUCUCCACGGGUUCCACAACUUGCCCAAGGUCAUGAGUAGGGUCGAACUUGUUCCCUGAUCCACGGGCUGGCAGGUCGUCGCCCAGGCACCUCGGUGUUGACAAGCGCUUUCCUUUGAAUCCCUGAGCACCUGGAGAGCCUGGCAUGGCAGGAUGCUGCUGCCCUCUCGUGGCCAUUAGGAUCUCUGCAGGCCUGAGCUAGGAGCCCCUGGAGCCGGGUUGGGCCUGAACCCCUGACUCUGGAGGCCCUCAGUCUUUUCCUUGCUCCCCUCACUCCCCCAACCCCCCAGGGCCCGGGAGAGAUGCUGCAGUGAAAAAGUGAAAAAGGAAAAUGAGUUUUUCUUUUCUUUCCUAAGAACAAAGAAGAAGGAACAGUGAGCAGGCCUGAUCACUGCUAGCUUUUACUUGGGUGUGUGCCCAAUGGCUCAGUUGUGUCCGACUCUUUGUGACCCCGUGGACUGUAGCCCGCCAGGCUCCUCUGUCCAUGGGACUCUCCAGGCAAGUAUACUGGAGUGGGUUCCACGCCUCCUCCAACUAUCCUUUGACUCCAUGCUAAUUACAACUUUACAGAACUCUCUUUGCAGACCCUCCCUUGUAGUUUUUCUCUUUUUGCCUUAUAGAAAGAAGGCCUCAGCACAAAAGACAAUAAUGCACCCAACUACCCAACUGCCUGACCCCAUUACUGGGCUACCUGACACCAGCCUGUGACCGCUUUUGAAAGAGCGCUAGAGGAAGGAUGCAACAUCCUGAAACCUCUGUUCCUCAUCACCAACCCCUGACUGUGAGCCUGCAUCUAUAUAAUCCCCCCAGAUUCCUCGUGGAAAAGGGGCACCGUUCUUAAGGCACAAACCUCCUGUGCUCUCCCUUCUGCCACCUGAGGAUCACAGCCACCUUUCUAUUUCUUCCAAACUGUCUCCAUGGUUUUUUUUUCCUUACUUGGUUUUUGUGGGCACAAAGAAAGCCAAGGUUUUGGUAGCAUCAGAGAGGAGAAAUAACAAAAGCCUGCAGCUCCAUCCUUUAUUCCCUGAGGGAUCUCAGUCAAGUCACCUAACCAGCCAGGCCUCAGUUUUCGCAUCUAUAGAAUGGGCAUAAUCCCUCUUCAGGUAGGAGGAUUUCUUGAGCAGGCAGGUGCUCCUGGAGAACCAGACCCUGGACUGGGGAAGACUCACCGGUAGCCCCCUCGUCACCCCCCUCACCCCACCCCCACCCCAGAGAAAGCAGCGGGCAGCCCGCGGAGGGUACACCACGUCCUUGCCGGGAGUAAACACUCUCGGUGCAAAGUCUGCAGCGUUUGUUGACUGGGCGGUGGGGGCUGCUCAUCAAAGGCGGCCCAGCGCCCUGCGGGCCAUUGCGGGCGGUGAGCUUUGGUCGGAGGCUCGUUGAUAAGCAGGGAGGACGUGUGAUCCCGGCCCGGGAGGGGCUCGGGCAGGAGGCGCCUCCCCCGCGGUCCGCUCCCGGAGCACCGGCUGCCCCGGUGCUGCCCAGGGACAAGGCCGACAGGCCGGCUCUGCCUCGCCGCCGCCUGAGGGAGGGUCUGUGUCCUCGCUGAGCCCAGCGCCCCCGCACGGGUCUCUCCAGGCUCAGCACCAGCCCCGGAAGGCGGGGCCUUCAGGGAACCCAGGAUUCAAGAACCCUUCCAGGCACCCUCCUCCACCGCGGAGGCGGAAGGUGGCUUCCUUCUAGAAUCUGCGAUCACAGCUUCUGGGGACCGCCAGAUCCCCGCCCCGCAAGUCUGAGCGUCAGGUACGCUCCUGCACAAAGUCCCCCCUCCCCGCCCCCCGUCCCUGGCCGUGAGGAGCUCGCAAGAUACCCCGCCUGGGUUCUCCACCGGGCAGUCCACCUGCCUACAGGCCACCUCCCCCUUCCACUCUUCCACACCCCACAAGACAGCCGCUCUUGGCCCCCGGCCGGGGUCACUGUUCCCUGCACACACCAGCCUCCCAUGGGAGCGCCAGCCCCUGUGGGUACCUGUCCCAGCCGACUCUGUGAAGGCUCAGCCCACCUUGCCACCCGGCUCUGACGGCCCCUGUCUCCCCCAGAGAAAGGGGACCCUCAGGCCUACAGACACCCAUUGGGAGACCCGAAGACCGCAGGGCCAGGAGGACUGCGACCGGCUGGGAGGAGCUGUGCCCGACCUGGGGGAGGGCAGAGAGGCGGCAGGGAGAACCAUCAGGGGCACUGGGGAGCCGGAGAGGGUUUGUGUGAAGGGAGGGCCCUGCCAGGUGGGCAUUUAAGGGCCAUCAUGCUGGCCACACUGACGGGCAGGCCACAGUGGGGAGAGCAGCGAAGAGAAGAAAGAGAGGUCGCUCAGUUGUGGCCGACUCUGUGACCCCACGGACAGUAGCCCGCCUGGCUCCUCAGCCCAUGGGAUUCUCCAGGCAAGAAUACUGGAGUGGGUUGCCGUUUCCUCCUCCAGGGGAUCUCCCCAACUCAGGGAUGGAACCUGCAGACAGACUCUUUAAUGUCUGAGCCACCAGGGGCUCCUGCAGCAAAGAGGGCUGUACGUAAUACAGGGCAGCUUGUGAGCAGGACAGCAUGUGACAGUCUGGGAGGGGGAAGGGGCUCGAGGGAGGGAGGCUGGGAGGGGGCGUUGGAGACCUGCAGAACCCUCACCAAGACGGAUGCAGCAGCAAUGGCCUGUGCAGCUGGCGAUUGAAGGUCAUCGCAGGGGCAGGACUGAAUGAGCAGGUGGUGAGGCCAGGGGCAGCGAGUGUGGACCGUUGGCUGGAAGGGCUUGGCAGCUGAGCGGACAGACAGGAAGGCAUGGCGGGGGAUGAAUAUAAACCCUAGGGGACAGAGACAUUCUGCCUGAGCACCAGCUUUGUAAAGUUGUCACAAAUACAUGAAGAAUGCCUGUAUCCAUGGGCGGGGCUGUUCUGGUGAGUUGUCCAUCCUUGUCUCAGCACC
ensembl:lncRNA